rnacentral:misc_RNA from 1 species
ACAACAAUAAGAUGCUCAAUACAAGGAGCCGGAGAGAGUAGACCAAUAAAAUAAAAUAAUCACAGGGAUUUAUUGCCAAGCAAGAGAAUGAGAACAAUUGGACAAAGAUAAAAGAUGGAUUCCCUUAUUCAGCUAAUCUGGCGGACAUAGCAGGGAAUGACAAUGAAAAAAGUGGAUCCCAUGGAAACUAACUGGACAAAAACAAGCUGCAGAAUUGGAGGGUAUGCUUAUUGGAAAAGAAAAUUACAGGAUUACUCUACAAUAGAGGUUCAAGGAGAUAACUUUCCUAUACACAUCAACAGAAAGACUAAAAAACCACCGCAUACUGUUUUUCUUUGCCAAAAGAUCGCCACUGCUGUUAAUUGCACCAAUACCACUUCAAGGACCAGUGAAAAAAGAACCCGAUUCAGUCCAAGAAUAAACCUUCAAGCCACCCAAUUCCACAAACCAAAUAACCAGAUCAAGCACAGCACAAGCAGACACUUAAAAACAGCUUCAGCUUCACAGUUGCAGAUAGAGAGAGAAAGAGAGCAAUCAAAGUGGAAACAUUGGGAUGCACGGAAGCUAAGGUUAUAUAGAAACCAAAUUGACAGGAAUG